rnacentral:rRNA from 1 species
AACGAACGCUGGCGGCAGGCUUAACACAUGCAAGUCGAGCGCCCCGCAAGGGGAGCGGCAGACGGGUGAGUAACGCGUGGGAAUCUACCCUUGGGUUCGGGAUAACAGUUGGAAACGACUGCUAAUACCGGAUGAUGACUUCGGUCCAAAGAUUUAUCGCCCAGGGAUGAGCCCGCGUAGGAUUAGCUAGUUGGUGAGGU